AAAUUAAUUAACAACAAACAUCACCGUAACAGAAGGGUAAAUUAGAGGCAUAAAGCGGUGACGUGCAAAUCAUCAACAUCAACUCCAUCGUUAUCCGACGGAGGUGGCAGAUUCAGAUCGAACGGCAGAGGUUGUUUGGUCACAAACGAUGACGUUUGAUCAACAUCACACCGAUCAUCCACCACAGACGACGACGAAUCGCAAUCACUCCGGCAUUCCUCCAUCGGACGAACUGGGCGAGGAAUCUUCAUCCGGGUCACCUUACUACUCGAUCCGCCACGAGGCCCACUAGACGAUUCCAACGUACUGCUCAUACUGCUAGAAGCCGGUCUCGGAUUGGGGAAAAGCUCAAACUCAUCAUCAUAAGGAUCAUCUGUUAGAGGUAACAUAUUGAAAUUAGUUUUCGCCUUAGCUCCACGGAGAGCGCGUGCAGCAUCGUCGUAAGCGCGUGCGGCGUCUUCAGCUGUGUCAAAGGUACCCAGCCAAACUCGAGUCUUUUUAAUCGGAUCUCUAAUCUCUGCUGCGAAUCUACCCCAUGGCCGUUUACGAACACCUCGAUAACGAGGUGGGUCGGCGUCAGGCUGUUGAAGGAGGUCAGAUCCUGGUCUUUUCAGCUCCGACGACUUCCGGUGGCGCAUGGCCGGUGAAUUGAGAAUCAAGAUUGGAUUUUUAUGGGUAUUUUUUCAAUUUUUUUGCCGAUUUUCCAUGAAAUGGAAGAUGAUUUUGCUUUGUUUGCAGAUUCAGAGCAGAUUGGCAAUGGAGAAAG
rnacentral:misc_RNA from 1 species